CAAUAGCGUAUAUUAAAAUUGUUGCAGUUAAAACGCUCGUAGUUGAAUAUCUGGCAUGUGAGGCCGGUCCGCUUCGGUGUGCACCGCGCCUUCCCACGUCAUCCGCUUGCUUGCUUCGGCUUGCAAGCCUUUCACUUUGAGGAAAUUAGAGUGUUCAAAGCAGGCUUACGCCUUGAAUACUUCAGCAUGGAAUGAUUGUUAGGACAUUCGUCCUUUCAGUUGGUUCUAGGGACGAAUGUAAUGGUUAAUAGGGUCGGUCGGGGGCAUUUGUAUUGAACAGCUAGAGGUGAAAUUCUUAGACUUGUUCAAGACAAACAACUGCGAAAGCAUUUGCCAAGGACGUACCCAUUAG
rnacentral:rRNA from 1 species